UGCGCAGGCGGAACUUUAAGUCAGUGGUGAAAUCUUGCCGCUUAACGGUAAAAUUGCCAUUGAUACUGAAGUUCUUGAAUAUGGUUGAGGUAGGCGGAAUGCGUUGUGUAGCGGUGAAAUGCAUAGAUAUGACACAGAACUCCGAUUGCGAAGGCAGCUUACUAAACCAUUAUUGACGCUGAGGCACGAAAGCGUGGGGAGCGAACAGGAUUAGAUACCCUGGUAGUC
rnacentral:rRNA from 1 species